rnacentral:rRNA from 1 species
UACGUAGGGUGCAAGCGUUGUCCGGAAUUAUUGGGCGUAAAGAGCUCGUAGGCGGUCUGUCGCGUCGGAUGUGAAAACCCGCAGCUCAACUGUGGGCUUGCAGCUGAUACGGGCAGGCUUGAGUUCGGUAGGGGAGACUGGAAUUCCUGGUGUAGCGGUGAAAUGCGCAGAUAUCAGGAGGAACACCGGUGGCGAAGGCGGGUCUCUGGGCCGAUACUGACGCUGAGGAGCGAAAGCGUGGGGAGCGAACAGG